AAAACCUCCGUUACCAGACCUAAAGCACCCAAAAAAAUGGAAAAAAAAGAAAAAGAAAAGAAACCCAUUAACCCACCUUGCUCCUCUCAAACCCUCUUUCCCACAUCAUCUCCUCCGUUUCACCUCCCUCACGAUCUCCCAUGGCGAGCUCUAGGUGCUACCUCACUGUGUCUCUGAUGGCGAUUUCUCUAAUCUCAUGUCAAUCCCUUCUCCUUCCGCAAGAGAUUUUCGCGUAGCUCGAUCAUCACCACCACCGCCGCAACGCCGUCCUCAAGUUUGGUCCUCUCCUCGUCAUCAACUUUGGAGAAGCUCAAGAGCUCGGAUUGUGCGCACGAUCAGCUUCUAAUCCCAAUCUAGGGUUUUUGUUCUUAAGAUCUUACAGUGGAAGAGCACUUAAUUUGUGUGGCCAACUUAUUGAACCCUCUAUUGGAAGAGUGAGUGAAGUUGAAGAAUGUUCUGCGAGAAAUGCUUCAGAUUCAGUUCAUCACAAUGGCAGUUCAAAGUGCAAAAAAUCUACACGCCGUAAAAAAACUGCUUCAGAUGCAUCCACUUCUCAUCUAUGAUGUUCAUCCAUGAGCUUAUUGUUCAUUAGGAAGUGCAUGAGAUCAAAAGUUGAAGCUUUUUGGCGUUACGCUCGGAAGAUUACCUGUAUAGGCAUGAAAUCUGAAACAACUGAUAAGUAUUAUCAAGAUCUGUGAAGCAGAGAAAACUAACCUCAUUUUUUGGUUCGUCGACUGAUAGAAUGAAUUCCUCAGUUUCAUUGAAGACAGCCUACAAAACCACCCAUUAGUGGAAAGAAGAGAAUCAACCAACCUGGAAACGCAAGUGCGUGUGGAUUGCACCCAGAUACUGUAUUGCAUCUCUUUCAUGAUAUGAUCCGGUGAGACAGAACUGUGAAAGAGCCUGCAUUCUCAGCAUCUCUGAUCUGACUGCUGGAAAGCGUUUGGUUAACUAAGGAGGCUGCAGUUUUCUGUUUUUUCUGGUUUGGGAGGAUCGGAGGAUGCACUCUUUCUGCUUUCCAUUCUGUUGUAGACCAAACUUCCUUCAAUAGGUUAAUCCAUUGCCAUUAGUUAUUGGCUAUGAUGAUCCCUUAGUAACUGCUUGAUGUAGGAGCUUGUAUAGGAGUUUCUAAAAUCUUGAAGCAAUACUUGAUUGCAGUAUAAGAAUAGUAAUUGUAAUUGAAUAGCUGUUGCUAUAGUGGUCGUCUAUUGAGCACUUUUGCAGUACUUCAAUGUCCAGGAAUGGACAGUUAUUAAUUAAGCCUCCGAUUUUUGACA